ensembl:rRNA 5S_rRNA 5S ribosomal RNA
GUCUACGGCCAUGCCAACCUGAAUGAGCCCGAUCCUGUCUGAUCUUGGGAGCUAAGCAGAGUCAGGCCUGGUUAGUACUUGGAUAGGAGAUCACCUAGGAAGACCAGGUGCUGUAGGCA